AAACAUUUUUUUAAAAAUUUUUUAAAAUAAGGUCUGCCCAAUGAAUUUUAAAUAGCCGCAGAAUUUUAACUGUGCUAAGGUAGCAUAAUCAUUUGUCUUUUAAUUGAAGACUAGAAUGAACGGCUUAACAUUUUCUUCUCUAUUUUUAAUUUAUAUUAUAAAAAUUAUACUAAAUAUAAAAAUAUAUUUAUAUGUAAGUAAGACGACAAGACCCUUUCGAACUUCACUUCAGUUUAGCUGGGGAAGCUAUAUAAAUAAAAUCUUAUUUUUAAGAAAAAAAAAGACCCAAAUUUAAUUGAAAAAUGAUCAAGUUACCGAAGGGAUAACAGCAUAAUAAAUUUUUAUAGCUCGUAUAAAAAAGUUAAUUUAUGACCUCGAUGUUGAAUUAUUUUACUUUUAACCGCAAGAGGUUAAAAAGUAGGUCUGUUCGACCUUUAAUAUUUUACAUGAUC
rnacentral:rRNA from 1 species